CCCGUGGCGAACGGCUGCGUAACACGUUGGUACAUGCCCCGAACUCAGGGAUAACUAUCCGAAAGGAUAGCUAAUACCGGAUGGUCUCGUAAGAGUAAAGCUUUUGCGGUUCGGGAGUGGCCUGCGGCCUAUCAGGUAGUUGGUGAGGUAACGGCUCACCAAGCCUAUGACGGGUAGCUGAUCUGAGAGGAUGAUCAGCCAGAAUGGAACUGAGACACGGUCCAU
rnacentral:rRNA from 1 species